ACUAGAGAGGGAGACAGUAAAAGAUAAAGAUGGCAAAAUGUGUGUGUUCAUGACACUUUCUGUUUCUGUGUCAGAACACAGACAGCGCCCCCUAGUGCCUUAAGCAUCACUGCUGUGUAGCCUGUUGAGGGGCAAUAUUGGUUUAUUAUUAGUUCCAGCCAAGAUGAGUGAGUCACUUCUUUUUCCUUUCUAGUUUGACAUUGUCACUCUAAGAUAUUACUGCUGCUGAUUCUGUUUUAAAAACCCAAGUUUACUAAAUAUGCUACCCAGUCACCUCUAAUCAGUGUUUCACUCACGGGUUGGAAUUAGAAGGGAACUGCGCGCCUGCAGGCUUUGUUUUACAGAUGUUGACAGAGGCUUCCGCGUCCAGGUGUUUGUGGAGACACUGGAGACACAGUAGCUCCUGCAGCUCUGUUUUCACUUCGCCCUGGAGAGCUCGUGCCGACUCAGCCUCUGUCUCCAUGUCCGAGGGCAUCCCUGAGCAUGAUGGUCCCGGGAACACGCUGAAGUACUUGACAAUCAUAGCAGAUCACCCCAAUGCGUGUUGUGAAGGUUCCAUCUCUCUGCCUGUUAGAGUUGUUGACGUCUUCCCGGGUCGCUGGCCUUUGUGUCUCGGUUUUAUUCCAGCUGCUUACAGUGUUACAGCUCUUUACAGCUUCACAUUGCUCAAAGCCGCGCAUUCCAGGAAAAGGCCUCUGCCUAAUCCGACCCUGUUCCCUCUGAUCUGGGCGUCUCGGGCUUUGCACGCGUUUUAAUUCCCUUCCAUUACUGAUGAGGUGGCUGAAGGUGACCCGCUGUUCUCCAGAGAGGGAGAAUGAGUGAAGCAGGCUCCCCCACCCCUCACUCAGCAGCAUCCGCAGGAGGGAGUCUCGGCUUCUCUUGCGUGGAGGUCAUCUCACGGGAUCUGACUGCUCAGGGGCUGUGAAGAUAUGCACGUUGUCCAGUUGGUAAUCCAAAUCCUAGCUUUUUGACAUUUCAUAUUUUUUACAGAAAAUUGAAUAGCCAAAGUUUUUGCAAUAAAAGAGUAUAGUCUCUGCUUUUGUUUUGUGUUUUGGGCUCUGUGCAGGCACCUCUGUGUUAGGAGCACAAAGUGAUCCAUACAUACCUCAUACAUACAUGCGUACUUCCACACGCUUGUGUGCACGUGCGUGUCCAGGGGUCCCUGCGUGCAGUUGGAAUUUGCAAGGUUACUUAGUUCUAGCUGCUUUGUGCGUGGUGCACGAGAGCCCUGUCUUUGUGACUUGUUUGUGUCAUGUUAAUGACUCAUGGCUUGAACAGCUAGAUGAUUCAUGGUGUGAAACACGGAUAUUUGAGCUCAUUUUAUUCUGCUCAGGCUUAUUUUUUUAUUAAGAGGCCAAACAAUAAUGGCAUUUACAAAAAGCUGCUUAACAGAAUAUUUGAUGAGUCUCUGUUCUGCACACCCAUACCUUUCCACAUACCCCACCGUGAUGCCUUCUCCCCACCCCAGAGCCCACUGCCCUGUCUGCUCUGCAGUCAGCCCCAGCAUCUCCCUUCCUGUCGUCCAGGGACUGUGCUUUUGUCUUCUGAAAUCUACUUUCAAAACUUUAUACUUUCUAGACACUCAGUAUAUACUAAACAAGUUGAAGGCAUUGCUUUUUAAAGUAUUUAUUUUUAUUUAUUUGAAAAACAGGAAGAGAUUUUUCCAUCAGUGCUUCCCACUCCCAAAUGCCCAUGACAGCUGGCCCUGGGCCUAGUCAAAGCCAAGAGCUGGGAACUCAAGCCACGUCUCUCACGUGGGCAUCAGGAACACAAGUACCUAAACCGUCACGUACUGCCUGCCGGGGCAUGCUUCAUAGGACACUGGAAAGAACAGAGCCAAGACUCUAAUCCGGGCACUCUGCCGUGGCACGCGGGUCCCACGCAGCGUCUUAACUGCUGUGCCGAAACCUGCCGCUCGAGAGAUCCUGUGUUCCUCUCCUCCACUGGUGUUUCCUCACCUGCUCCCAGAACUCUUCCAUACAAGGAACAGCCCACCGGUGGUUCUGCCUCCACGUCCCCGAGGGAGAAAUGGCUCUGGUGGCGAGUCUGGCGUGGGCUGAAUCUUCCCAUCUCCUACCAGGUUGAGUCAAUGGUGAGCAACGUCCUUCCCCAGUUUGCACAGAGCUGCUGUGGUGCCCUGACUCCCACACAUGGGGUUCCUGAGUGCUAGAGGAGUGAGCUGCGGAGGUCAGGGGUGCUGUUUGGGGAGCUGUGGGGGGGUGGGGGUUCUAGCUCACUGAGAGCCUGUCUGGUUGAAUGUAACUGACUCAGAGCAGUGUGAUCAUCUGGCGCUAGGACAGCACCUGCGAGUGUCAAACACAGUGUUAAUUAUUCUGGAUUAAACACAGGCAGGCAUUCGCUCCAUGUUCUUGCCAUUUUCUCUAGUUUUCCUGUUUUAAUUUCAGAAGUGUGACUAUUUGGGAAGUGUGCAUGUAUUUAUUUCAUGUCUCAUACAUCUAUGGGUAAAAGAACAGAAAACUGAUGAAACAUGUCUGCAUGCUUGUGGCAUAAAGUCGUAUUUCAGGUCCAGCUAUGAAAAUGUGAUCCAUUUUGCAUGUUUAUCACAUAUGUGCGUAUAUUUUUUCUUGCAUUCAUAUUAGUAUUGCAUGGACAAUUUGAUGUCUUUGUUUUAAUAGUAAUUCUAGAGAGAACCGCUCUGUAUCUUCUCAAGAGGUACAACUGCAAACCAACGUGAUAUGAAUCUAAGCUGAAUGCAUAGAAUCUGUGGUAUCAAACAAUUAUUUUUGUUUGACUUGUGUUGUCACCUAAACAUAGAGAGGGACAUGUGCAGUGUUCACGUGCAUGGCCUCUUUGAGUCCAUCCUGCAUGAGCUAAUGAUGUGGUGUUUUAUUUUUUAAAAGAUUUAUUCAUUUAUUUGACAAGGCAGAGUUACAGAGAGGCAGAUCCAGAGAGAGAGAGAGAGAGAGAGAAAGAGAGAGAUCGAUCAAUCUCCCGUCCGCUGCUUCAUUCCCCAAAUGGCCAUGAUGUCCGGAGCUGCACCAAUCUGAAGCCAGGAGCCGGGAGCCUCCUCCGGGUUUCCCACAGGCAUGCAGGGGCCAAAGAGUUGGGCAUCUUCUGUUUUCCCAGACGAUAGCAUAGAGCUGGAUCAGAAGUGGAGCAGCCGGGACUCGAACUGGCGCUCAUAUGGGAUGCUGGCACCGCAGGUGGCGGCUUUACCCGCUGCAUCACAACAUUGGCCCCUGUGGUUUUUUAAAAGGCCAAGAUGAAGUCUGCUGUAAAAGAGCCACAGAACUUUGAAAGCAACAUAUGUUGCUAACUUCACAGUGAAACUGACUGCUUUCAGAGAGACAGAAUUCGCAAUAAUAUCAAGAUUGUCUUCAGAACAUGAAUGUGGUGAAAUAAAUAUCGGAGUCAAAUCAAAGCUACCUGUGAGCGUGAAAAUAUCAUUUGACAAAUUCUUCCCUUGAAAGACAAUGCAUUUAUUCAAAUAAAUACUGAACUUUAAUAUAUAUUAUUAUCAACUUUUUAAAAAAGAUUUUUUAAUGACAGAAUGACAGAGAGGGACACACACACACACACACACACACAGAGAGGGAGAGGGAGAGAGAGAGAUUGAGAUUGAUUUUCCAUCACCGGUUCACUCUCCAAAACUCCAGCCAGAUUUGGGCCAGGCUGAAGCCAGGAGCCAGAAAUUCCAUCUUGGUCUCCCCGCUGGGGGGCAGGGGCCCUGGUGCUGGGGCCACCUUCCACUGCCUUCCCAGCUGCAUUUCCCUUACUUGUGCAAGGAGGGGGCUUCUUGGAUUCAGAACUGUUGUCUGAGCCAGCGUGUGGAUUUUGCGUUGCUGCCUGCUGACAUCACCACAGACAGGGAGACGUAAAGCACAUGUCUAGCAUGUCACCAUUUCUGGGCUCCAUGGGCUGAGCACAGCCGCACUGGGUCCCGUGCUUCGGUGUCUGGCUGGCUUUUCAUCUGAAGACUGCACUGGGAGGGCUCUUCUUUCAAACCAAUGUGGUCCUUGGCGGAGCUCAGGCCCCUGAGGGUUGUGGGGUGAGACAUCCAGCUCCUCGCUGCUGCUUCUGGGCGUGUCUGCUGCACUGUGCUUGUUUCAUUGUAGUGUGAGGCUCAGGGUGAGAGGCAACCAGCAGGAAGGUGCAGUUUCCCCAAACAGGUUGUGGAGGUGAUGGCCAGCUGUGGUCCGAGCGUGAACCCCAAAGUCCAUGUGUUGGAAGCUUGGUCCCCAGUGCACUGAUGUUGGGGGGUGGGGAGGAGUCAAUGCCUUAAUCAAGGACGGGUUUGUUGUCGGAGCCACUGUGGUCCUGGUUCCCUGGCCGGGGAUGCCAUCACACAGGAAAGGGGUUCUGUGUAUAAAAGGUUAGGACUGAGGGCGAAACUGCAGUAAGAAGUGACUGUGUCUGCCAGCAGCACAGAGAUGCCGGUGGCCAUUAGAGAGAAGAGCACGUGGCCUGCUGUUUUCUCCACCAUUCCUUCGCAAGCUCCCAGGCAGGGAAGACGUAAGCAGGCAAUGCCACCAUGGUGAACCCUAACUGCAGGAGAACGCCACAGCCCUCACGGGUAGAAAGUCCGUUUACAGAGCUGACUGGGUCUGAGCGAAUGUUUCACUCCAAAGAAGGAGCCUCCCCCCAUCCCUGAAGCACCACACACGAGCUACUGUCAAGAUGCUGUUCAAUCGCACCUGCCGGGGGAGUAAGCACCCGUUCAGUACCAGAGCCUCUGUGGAGACAACAAGGGCAGAGGGCAGUCCUCUGCCUGGGUGGGAGCUCUGGGCACAAGCCCUGGGGCUCCUCUGCUUCCUCUGUGCCAUGUGGGAAAGUCUCACUGGCUCCUGGGGCUAGUUGCCAGCAGCAGCCCAUGUGUAAUCCCAGACGUUGGAAGCCCCUCUGUGGCUCUUAGGGCACAAGCCCAGGCCUCAGCCUUGCAUGCCCUCCAGUAACGGGAAGCAGGCCCUCUGUACCUUGCAACUCUGGAGAUGUUUGUGCAGCUGCUUAUCUUGGGGUAACUUGUACCCAUCUGUGGGAUCUCGCAGACCCCACCUAUAUUCCUCUGCUUUAAGCAGCUGAUUGGGAAGGUUCUGUUCCCAUAUUCCGCCAGGGUCCUUAUCCCUAGCAUCACACAGGCAUGUCUGUCACCAGGUGAGACAGCCUCCUCUGGGUCCCACAGCAUCAGAAAUACGACUUCAGACAUCAUGAACGCCAGUGUGAUGAUGCUUAAUUCCCGAGAGCUAAAGGCACACACCUGUGAAAGCUCACGCCACUUCACAGUGGUAUCACCACGUCCAGAACUGUGGUGCGUGGACAGCUCUGGCACUUGCAGGCACUGGCAGCACUGAUGACUGCUGAGUAAGUCAUUCAGAGUCUGCACCUCUGGGCUCACAAAGAGUCACCGAGAGAAACGACCCAAGUGAUACUCUACAUCCCAUCUAAAUAAAAGUCUUUUUCAAUGAGAGCUACACCAUGGAAAAGGGAAUUAUGCCGGUUGUGCAGAUGUCAGUAUAGGAAACCUGAAGGCACUUCCAAAAGAACACAAUGUUCUCCAGAAGUAGGUCCUGACCUGCAGGUAUUCUGUGAAAUACCAGAAAGGAGUUCAAAAUAAUGGCCCUAAGGAAACUCAAGGAGAUUAUAGACAGACAGUUUAAAGAGAUGGGGAAACCAAUAGAUGGCAAAAAUCAAAAGUGCAGUAAAGAGACAGAAAAUAUUAAAAAGAGCCAGAUAGGAAUUUUGGGCCAGAAAACUUCAAACAUGGAGAUAAAAUAAAAAAUAUAGUUGAGAGGUUUAACAGCGGAAUAGAACAGGUAGAAGAAAAAGACUGUGAUAUGGAGAGCAAAACUUUGGAUGUAACUCAGUCAAUUGGAAAUAAAGAGCUCAGAAUUAAAAAGAAUGAAGAAAGCCUACAUGAAAUCCGGGAUACUCUUAAGUGAGCAAAUAUUUGUGUUAUAGGGAUGCCUGAAGGAGAAUAGAAGGGGAAAAGGGCAUUGGGAAUCUGUGAGUGAAGUAACAGUUCACUUCCUAUGGUUUGGAAGCGAUAGGGACAUCCAGAUACAGGAAGCACUAAAGACCCCAAGAUGACUCAACCAAGAAAGAGUUUCCCCAAGUCGUUGUCGUGAAAUGGUCAGUUAGGGACAAGGAAGCAAUCUGAAGACAGUAAGAAACAAACCAUCACCUUCCUACACAGCAAAAGCAGUUAGACAAACAGCAGACGUCUCAGCAGAAGGCCUUCAGGCCGAAAGAGUAGAAUGAUGUAUUCAAGGUCUUGAAAGGAAAAAAAAAAUCCAGCUAAGAGUCCAAUCUGUUGAAACUAACCUUAAAAGAGAAGAAUUAAAAUAUUUCCUGGACAAACAAAAGCAGUGAAUUCGUAACCACGAGACCAGCCCAGCCUCACAUACACUGUUGAAAGUCCUGCAUUAGAAGUAAGCAACAUGACGGCACCCAGUUCACCAGCAGAGCAGACAUCAUCAGUAACUAAUGAAAGGAGUUGCUUUUCAUCUAUCAGUAUUAUCUGUGACUGCGAAUAGAUAAAAUUCUCCAGUCAGAUGCUCAAGGCUGGUUGAAUGGGUUAAAAAUCAGCACCCACUUUUUUGCUGCCUAUAAGAAACACAGUUCUGAGGUAAAGGCACACACUGACUGAUCCUGAAACCAUGGGAAAAUAGGCCACGCACAUGGAAACUGAAAACAGGCAGGCAUAUCUACACCCAUAUCAGGUAAGACAGAUUUUAGUCAUUAUGUGUUGAUAGCAGAUCAAGUGGCAUUGAUCCCAGACAUACAAGGGUGGUUCACAGUGUGCAGAUCAAUACGGGGCAUUAGUUACAUCCAUAGACUGAAGAACAAAAGCAUGUGGCCAUCUCAUGGAUGCAGAGAUUCCACUUGAUAAGAUUCGACAUCCCUUCUUGGUUAUAAGCAAACAAACUCAAGAAAUUAGGUAUAGAAGGAAUAAACCUCAAUUACACAGGUUAUACGUGAAGGUGUGGCAGCCGGUGUCCUACUGGGCAGGGGAAGUGGAAGCAUUUCUCAGCUCUUGCACCACCCCUGCUCAGUGUAGUGUUGUAAAUGUCAGCAAGAGCAGUUAGGGAGGAGAAGGAAAGAAAGGGCGUGGGAACUGGAAGGGGGCUGUGAAUACCUGACCUUGCAGAUGCCAGUACUUCCUGUAUGAAAAGACACUCCUCCAAGAAACUGAUACAGUGAUUGAGGAAAGCCAUAGGAUAGAAAAUCAAUAUACAAAGUAGCUAGCAUUUGUUAGAAAAGAUUUCACUUACUUGAGAAGUAGAGUUACAUCCACAGAGAGAGGAGAGAAAGGGAGAGAGCUCUUCCCUCUGCUGGUUCACUCUCCAAGUGGCUGCAAAGGCUGGAGCUGAGCGGAUCCAAAGCCAGGAGCCCAGAGCUGCUUCUGGGUCUCUCACGUGGGUGCAGGGGCCCAAGCACUUGGGCCAUCUCCUGCUUUCUCAGGCCAUCCGCAGAGAGCAGCUGGGACAUGACCCAGUGCCCAUAUGGGUUUGCAGCGCUGCAGGCAGGGGCUUAGCCUACUAUGCCACAGUGCCAGCCCCAGCUGUUAACCUUCUUAUACAUCAAUAAUGAUGUCAUUGAAAAGAAAUCUCAUCCACAAUAGCCACAAAAAUAUUUAGGAAUAAAUUUAACCAAGGACCCGAAAGAUCACUAGAAUGAAAAUUAUAAUGAAAGACAUAAACAAAGCAUGCGAAGAUUUUUUUUUUGAUUGGAAAAAUUCAUGUCUUUUACAGUCUCUGUUACCUAAAGCCCUCUCUAGAUUCAAUGCAGUUCCCAUGAAAAUGCAAAUGACAUUCUUUAUGGAAUUUAAAAAACAACCCUAGGGGCCAGCAUUGUCAUGCAGCAGGUUAGGCCACCACCUGCUAUGCAGGCAUCACCUGUGGGAGUGCCUCUUCCAGUCCUGGCUGCUCCCCUGUGGAUCCAGUUACCCAUUAACCUGCAGGGAAAGGCAGUGGGAGAUGCCACCAGGGCUGGGCCUCUUCCACCCACGUGGGAGACCCAGAUGGAGUUCUAAUUUCUGGCUUUGGCCUGGCACAGCCCUGGCCAGUACAGCCAUUUAGGGAGUGAACUAAUGGAUUGCAGAUUCCUCAUUCUGUGUCUCACUGUCUCUCUGUAACUCUGCUUUCCAAAUAAAUAAAUCUUUAGAAAAAAAUCCCAAACUACAUAUGGAAUCAGAGGAGACACAGAACAGCCAAAGUAAUCCUGAGGGAGAAAAGUAACGAAGCUGGAGGCAUCUCAGUGUCUGAUUUCCAGGCGUGCUACGGAGGUCAUUACAACAGCGAGGUACUGUUGCACGUGUUUCAUACUAAAACCAGACGGCGCAUGGGUUCGUGAAACAGCAAUUCAGAAAAUAACCCCCAUGCUGCAGCGAGCUGGUGUUUGAGAAAGGUGUCAGUCACACCCACUGGAGAAAAGGCAGUGUUCAGUGCAGGGUGCUGGCCAAGCCAGCUGCAUGGCAUUGAGAAGAGUGAAGUUAGACCCCUGCCUCUCUCCACACCCAGAGAUGAACUCAGAGUGGACCAGGGACGCCCUUCAAGACAUGGUGCCUGGUGACUGCAAAGGCAACAAGAGCAACACUGCACAUACCCAGAAGCUUCUCACAGCAGAGCAAGGAGGAGGAGGAGGAGACGUUUGUGUGACGAAGGAUUAAUACUCGAAAUGUAUCAGCUGCGCACAAGCCUGGAUAGCAGCAGCAAAGCAGCAAUCAAUGCAGUGCAGAAACGGGCAGCCCGAGUAGACAGUUCUCAACAGGAGGGACGUAAAUGGCCAACAGAAAGACGAAAAUGCUCAGCGUCACUAGGUAUCGGGAGAUGCAAAUCAAAACAACAGUCGGUUACCCCCUCACCCAGCCUCCUCACCCCCUUAUCAGAAAGGCUGAGGGUGCCCAGUGCUGAGGAGGGUGUGGAGAGAUGAGAACUUGUACGUAGCGUCGGUGGGUAUGUGAGCCAGUGCUGCCGCUGUGCCAAACAGGGAGAUUGCUUUACAACGAGAGAGAGACUAGAAAUGGAACUGCUGUGUGAUACAGUAAGCCGCCUAGUGGUGUCUAUCCAAAGACGUGAACUUCGUCUGUCAGAGAUACCGGAGGCACUGUGUUGAUAGCAUCACUGUUCCCAAUAUAGUAGGCAAAAUAAGGAGUUAACCAAAGGGCCCAUCAUCAAAUGAAUGGAUAAAGAAAAUGGUGGUAUAUAUACAUAAAAUCACACUAUUCAGUUAUUUAAAAGAAUGAAAUCCUGAUAUUUGUGGAAAAAUGGAUGGAACCAGAGGACAUCAUGUUGAGUGAAAUAUGCCAGAAACAGGAAGUUAAAUACCGCAUGUUCUCCCUGCGAUGUGAGAGCUAAAAUUUAAAACAGAGUAAAUAAAUAAAAACCUCCUUCUAAACACAGAAUGUUGAACACAGGAGUCUGGAAGGGGUGGGAGGAAUAAAGUCAGUUUAUAUACAUGGAAUACACAUUGUAUUACUACUUCACAGUUUAUGUUUUAUAAAUUUUAAAUUAGUUAUAAAAAAACUAAAUAGUGUUAAAAUAUUAAAGCCCUAGUGUGGAACUAGUCCUGGUACCUUAACAUAUGUUUUGAUUACACUGGAGUACAAUAAUGAUAUCUGUCUAAGAAUAAGUACAAGUUAGGUUAGUGGCCCAUAAAAAUGAUGCCAGAAGUUGACUUAACACUGAGUGAGGCUGCCGGGGCUGAACAGACCUGGUGAAGCAGUGUGUUUCUUAGUGCCACUGUCACCAUCCGAUGCAGACUGAGUUCAAGUCCAAGGGUCCCAGGGGGAUAUGGAAUGACAUUCAUUUACAUCUGGUGUGUGUGAGAGGAGUGCGUGUUUCCAAGUCAGGGCGUGGUGACACGCAGCUGCGUGUCGCCUCUGUUGGGAGCAUGCCAACACUGAAUCACUUAAGUCUGUGGAGUCGUCGUCGCUGGUGCAGUCAGCCUAAUGGGCCGUUUCAGAACUCAGCAAAGUAAGUCCUAGCAGACACUCCAGUCCCUUUUCCUUAAAGUUACUGGGCUUUGGAAGGCGCUCUGUGAUUUCUGUUUUAGUUUUGGGUUCAUUUGCUGUACUUUUUAGACUUUUGGCUUCCUUAGUUCUUCCAUAGUGAGAGUCAUUUGUUUAAAUUGAUAUUUAGAAAACAUGUGAAGAGAUAAAGAGGAAAAAGCACAAAACAGUUUGGCAUCAAAGAGAGAUUUGAGUCCCAGAUGGGCUAAGGGGUGCUAGGAACCCCAGGGGUUCCUACUUGCGUUUGACAGUUGCCACUUUGAAGAAAAACCUUGGAGACCUAAAAGGUUCAAGCUGGGCUUGUGAGGGUCCAGGCCCAGCUGUGUAGCACACAUCCAUAAACAGGAUUGAGACCUAGGAGGUGACAGGGUGCUUGCAAGACACAAGGUGAGCGUUACAGUGGGAGAACUUAGAGCCCAGCCAGGGAGUGCCCUGGUUAGCAUCCUGCUCUGCCCUCCCUUGGCAGUUUAACAACUCAGGUCAUUAUAGUGGGGAUUAUAUAAUUAACAGCUCCUGCACACGCUAAAAUUAUGUAAAUUUUAAAAUUACUCUAGUUCCUGGAUAUAGAUAUAAUCUUACCAAUAAACUGUAGGCCUUCAUUACUUUGAUUGGCUGAACAAAUAUUAAUUGAUUUAUCUGCAAAGUUCAAGGCAUUGUGACAAAUAGUCAAAGGAGUAUGCAAAGGAGUGAGCUGUGGCUUUGUGUUGGAAGUAUUUAUUAUUAGCAUAGAAAACACCUGUGCAGGUGUUACUGGCCCUUGGAGGAGACUGAGAGACGGUGCAUGAGGCUAAUUUCUCAGAGAGGGAACAAGUUGAUUCUCUGUAUACAUGGAAGAAGUCAUUUUGAGCAGUACCCGGGAGGUUUUCAGAACCAAGACACAGAGAUGAUGGAAUCCAUGGGAAGUGUUCCUAAGCGCUCUGGACAGGGCUGCGAGCCUUGGACGGUCAGGGGUGAGCGCUGCUCCUUCAGACCCGGUUACUGCCACCCACUGCACGCUCCAACCACUCUCCAGAAAUGGGGCAGAAAAGGCUUGUUUCAUGCUGGCUACUCUGAGAAACUUUGACACACCAGAAUCUGUAAUUUAGAAUGCCAGGCCUUGGGACUGACUGGCGCAGUGCAGUUCCCGGGGAAAUCCUUCCACCGCUCUGUCCUCCAGCGUGUGUGUUGCUUUCUGAGUGUUGGGUUAGGACUCUUGCGUCUUCUGUUUGUGUCUGAGAAGGAAUACUGGCACCUCCUGGCUCCUGAGUUUCUAGGGCAGGCAAGGCAGCUCCUGGUCCUGCGGGCUGCGGGCUGUGGACAGUCACAGGUACAGCCCGCUCACCCGGGCUGACGGUCGGCCGUUCUCUGUUGCCUUUCUGGAGUCAGUUCUGUUCUAAUUUCUUGCUAAUAAAGGGACUAAAGACAGAAGUGAGAUAAAUUGCCCUGGAGGGCGCGGUUCCUCCUCGCCUGCUCAGAUCCAGAUGCGAGAGGCCGUGCCAGCCACAGAGGUGGGGGUCUCGUGGCCCACCAGGAAAUGGAAGUGAGGGUCGAGGCGGUAAGGAGACAGGCCGUGUCCUCGGGAAGGCCCACGUGAGGACCUCGCCUGGCCCCCAGGAAGCCUCGCUGCUGUUGGGUGUGCACGGGCUCCCUGUGGUAGACCCCAGAGCUGGCGCCCGGGCUGCUCUGAAUGCCGGAUGGGCGUGAUGUCCACCGUGGCCCUGGCUGAUGCUGCCCGGCCGUCUUGUGUUGUGCUUUCCUGGGCCUUCUCCGCCUGCAUAGCAUCCCUUUGACCGUGUUAAGGUCUGCACGUGUUGUGUUGGAGUCUGCAGAGGCGCUGCUCUGCUGCUCUGGUGUGGAGGGCAGCGUUUGUGCAGCUGCAGGCCCAUCAUGGUUCAGGCUCCAGAGGCUUCAUUUCCCCAGAUCCAGAGCCCUCUGCCUGCUCUCCCGGGACACAGGCAGCAGCUUGCUCCCUGCAGCCCAGCUCGUCUGGCCUCACUUCUCCUGCGGGGACAGCGGGCCACUGGCGUGCUCUGAAGAGGCACAGCAGGGGCCCUGUGCUGCCCACACCCACAGCUGUCUGCCCAGUUUGUGGGACCACUGAAAAAUGCAAACGCAAGUCCCUUGUUCAUAAAUCUCUGUUCCUUCCAAGCCGUGUCCAAGACGCUGCCCCACCCCGCCACCGCGCGCCACCUCCCAUGCUCCGUGCUGGCCACUCUCGGCUCUGCCAGAUGCUCCGCACCUUGCUGUCCAGGGCUCACUUGUCCGCAGCACACACCCAGAAUCCAGGACAAUGAUCCAGAGUGGACAGCCAAACCAUGCUCAGCAGUAUCUGAAAAAGAGGCACGUGCCCGCCUCAGGCAGAGAGAGGAAGCCGUGGCUGCACCUGCUCCAUGGGCACUCUGAACUUGGAGAACACGAACGAGGGGAAGUUUACAUUUCUUCUUCUAAGCCACCCACCCACCUCGCACCCCAGAAUGGGCUAAAAGACUUCCUGUAACCUCUCCCAAAAAGGGGGUGUCUAUACCAGAAGUGGUGACCACUCAUGCUGUACUCUGGGGUAAUAAGUAAGGAUUGCAGCUAUUUGGAAUUUGUAGUUGAUCACGCAGUAACAGCUUUGAAGUUGAAAAGUUAACUGCAUUAGAAAAAAAGUACUCAUCUGCAGAACUGGCCGUCUUAGUGCACAUGUGCCUUUUCUGGGGUUUCAGAGAAAGGGAUUUUUGUUCAGAAAACAAAUCUGUCACUUGAGGUGUGUGAAAUACUUUAUGUUUCAACAAGCCCAACAAUGAAAAAUGAGAGAGGACAAACAGGGUCAUGUUAAAAGUGAAUACUGUUGAUGGCCUCAUAACCUCAUGUUAAAAAUCUCCUGAUUGGAUGAUGGAUCAACUUACCCAGAAGAUGUGAGUGAAAUUACACCUCCCUAGUCCUUACAUAAGGAGUCAUACCCCCACAUCCCUGUAUGUUGACUAAUGGUGCCCCAGGUCCUCAUGUGGGUUACUGAUACCCCAGGUCCUGACAUGAGGAAUCAUAGUGCCCCCAGUCCUUACACAUGUGGAAUCCUACCCCAGGUCCUCCUAUGUGGAGUAAUAAUACCCCAGGUCCUGACACGAGGAAUCAUAGCGCCCCCAGUCCUUACACAUGUGGAAUCCUACCCCAGGUCCUCCUAUGUGGAGUAAUAAUACCCCUGGUCCUUACAUGGGGAAUCAUAGCACCCCCAGUCCUUUCACAUGUGAAAUCCUACCCCAGGCCCUCAUAUGCGGAGUAAUAAUACCCCAGGCCCUCAUAUGUGGAGUAAUAAUACCCCAGGUCCUCAUAUGCCUGGGAAACCCCCACCUUCCCCAGGGGCAGAACUAACGCUGGCAUUGCCAUGGUCAUGGGAUUCUCAGUUCCUUUGUACUAUGAGUUGAAUAUGAUUUAUGGCUCUGCAUUCAUCCAGUUUAAUACCCAAAGUUUUACAGUAGGGCUACAAAAAGGAUUGAAAAAUCUGUCUAUGGUGUGUAUAGGUAGAGUCUUUGGAAAUGAUUCCAUUGGUUCAGGUCAUUGGUGAAUCCUGGUGGGUUUAUAUGGAGAGGGGAGAUACCGCAGGGGCGUAGAUGUGUGUGUCCCCAUCAUCCAUGUGGUUCACUGUGCUGGUCACCUGAUGGGGCCUCUAGGCCCUGGACCUCCUGAACCGGGAGCUGAAAUGCACUUUGUGUGGUUAGGUUGUCUCAGGGGUUUCCUUAGAGUGAUACUUUGCUGGCUCACGCACCCCGCUGGUGGACAGAAGUGCACAGUGGUCCACACAUAGUGUCAGCGGUUGGACGGGUGCAGUGCACACCUGCAUUUGCACUGUGCAGCUGCUCAGCAGGUCAGGUCCUCCUCUGUGAAGGGUGAUCGGAACUGGGCCUACAGCGUGGGUUUUCUCUUAGUACCAAACAACACGUGUCAAAUAUGUUAGGCACACGAACAGCAAGUUCAGGAGAUGCCCUCAGGACCACACUUACGUUUGCUGGACGGAUUUACUCAACUAAGCAGAACCAACGUGCUCACAGAUGGAGUUUACGACCAUGGACCAUGAAAGAAUGGCAUCAACUCAAAGAAGCAGUGUGGAUAGCCAGGUGUGCAGCCUCCCACGGUCCCUGUAGGUGGAGCUGUGCAGACAGGGCUUACCCUUGACCACAGAGACUGACAGCACAGCAAAGCCCACAGAGCCUCGAUGUUCCCAUCAACAUGUUGGCUACCCUCCUGGCUAAACCUCAUCUUCUGGUACUCCAGAGAGCACACUGACACCACUACCAUACCACUGGCAGAGACUACCCAGUGUAGACCAGAACCCCCACCAUAAAUCAUGCCAUUUGCAGAGACCAUCCUGUGUAGACAAAAUGGCCAGUGUGAGUCACUCUGAUGGAGUGGACCAUCAGUGUAACCCAGGAUCCCCUGUAGUACUGAUGGAGUGGACCAUGCAGUCUAACCCAGGACCCACUGUAGUACUGAUGGAGUGGACCAUGCAGUCUAACCCAGGACCCACUGUAGUACUGAUGGAGUGGACCAUGCAGUCUAACCCAGGACCCACUGUAGUACUGAUGGAGUGGACCAUGCAGUCUAACCCAGGAACCCACUGUAGUACUGAUGGAGUGGACCAUGCAGUCUAACCCAGGACCCCAUUGUAGUACUGAGGAGUGGACCAUGCAAUCUAACCCAGGACCCUCUGUAGUACUGAUGGAGUGGACCAUGCAGUGAAACUCAGGACCCACUGUACUACUGAUGGAGUGGACCAUGCAGUGUAACCCAGGAUCCCCUGUAGUACUGAUGGAGUAGACCAUGCAGUCUAACCCAGGACCCCACUGUAGUACUGAUGGAGUGGACCAUGCAGUCUAACACAGGAACCCACUGUGGUACUGAUGGAGUGGACCUUGCAGUCUAACCCAGGACCCACUGUAGUACUGAUGGAGUGGACCAUGCAGUCUAACCCAGGAACCCACUGUAGUACUGAUGGAGUGGACCAUGCAGUGUUACCCAGGAUCCACUGUAGUACUGAUGGAGUGGACCAUGCAGGUUAACCCAGGACCCACUGUAGUACUGAUGGAGUGCACCAUGCAGUGUAACUCAGGACCCACUGUAGUACUGAUGGAGUGGGCCAUGCAGUGUAACCCAGGAUCUCCUGUAGUACUGAUGGAGUAGACCAUGCAGUGUAACCCAGACCUCACUGUAGUACUGAUGGAGUGGACCAUGCAGUCUAACCCAGGAACCCACUGUAGUACUGAUGGAGUGGACCAUGCAGUCUAACCCAGGACCCACUGUAGUACUGAUGGAUUGGACCAUGCAGUCUAACCCAGGACCCACUGUAGUACUGAUGAAUUGGACCAUGCAGUGUAACCCAGGACCCCACUGUAGUACUGAUGGAGUGGACCAUGCAGUCUAACCCAGGACCCACUGUAGUACUGAUGGAGUGGACCAUGCAGUCUAACCCUGGAUCCACUGUGAGUACUGAUGGAGUGGACCAUGCAUUCUAACCCAGGACCCCACUGUAGUACUGAUGGAGUGGACCAUGCAAUCUAACCCAGGAUCCCACUGUAGUACUGAUGGAGUGGACCAUGCAGUCUAACCCAGGACCCCACUGUAGUACUGAUGGAGUGGACCAUGCAGUCUAACCCAGGAACCCACUGUAGUACUGAUGGAGUGGACCAUGCAGUCUAACCCAGGACCCCAUUGUAGUACUGAUGGAGUGGACCAUGCAAUCUAACCCAGGACCCUCUGUAGUACUGAUGGAGUGGACCAUGCAGUGAAACUCAGGACCCACUGUAGUACUGAUGGAGUGGACCAUGCAGUGUAACCCAGGAUCCCCUGUAGUACUGAUGGAGUGGACCAUGCAGUCUAACCCAGGACCCCACUGUAGUACUGAUGGAGUGGACCAUGCAGUCUAACACAGGAACCCACUGUGGUACUGAUGGAGUGGACCUUGCAGUCUAACCCAGGACCCACUGUAGUACUGAUGGAGUGGACCAUUCAGUCUAACCCAGGACCCCACUGUAGUACUGAUGGAGUGGACCAUGCAGUGUAACCCAGGAUCCCCUGUAGUACUGAUGGAGUAGACCAUGCAGUGUAACCCAGACCCCACUGUAGUACUGAUGGAGUGGACCAUGCAGUGUAACCCAGGAACCCACUGUAGUACUGAUGGAGUGGACCAUGCAGUCUAACCCAGGACCCACUGUAGUACUGAUGGAUUGGACCAUGCAGUCUAACCCAGGACCCACUGUAGUACUGAUGGAGUGGACCAUACAGUGUAACCCAGGACCCCACUCUAGUACUGAUGGAGUGGACCAUGCAGUCUAACCCAGGACCCACUGUAGUACUGAUGGAGUGGACCAUGCAGUCUAACCCAGGACCCACUGUGAGUACUGAUGGAGUGGACCAUGCAGUCUAACCCAGGACCCACUGUAGUACUGAUGGAGUGGACCAUGCAAUCUAACCCAGGACCCACUGUGAGUACUGAUGGAGUGGACCAUACAGUGUAACCCAGGACCCACUGUAUUACUGAUGGAGUGGACCAUGCAGUCUAAACCAGGACCCCACUGUAGUACUGAUGGAGUAGACAAUGCAGUCUAACCCAGGACCCACUGUAGUACUGAUGGAGUGGACCAUGCAGUCUAACCCAGGACCCCACUGUAGUACUGAUGGAGUGGACCAUGCAGUCUAACCCAGGACCCCACUGUAGUACUGAUGGAGUGGACCAUGCAGUCUAACCCAGGACCCCACUGUAGUACUGAUGGAGUGGACCAUGCAGUGUAACCCGUGAUCCACUGUGAGUACUGAUGGAGUGGACCAUGCAGUCUAACCCAGGACCCACUGUAGUACUGAUCGAGUGGACCAUGCAGUGUAACUCAGGACCCACUGUAGUACUGAUGGAGUGGACCAUGCAGUGUAACCCAGGAUCCCCUGUAGUACUGAUGGAGUAGACCAUGCAGUGUAACCCAGACCCCACUGUAGUACUGAUGGAGUGGACCAUGCAGUCUAACCCAGGAACCCACUGUAGUACUGAUGGAGUGGACCAUGCAGUCUAACCCAGGACCCACUGUAGUACUGAUGGAGUGGACCAUGCAGUCUAACCCAGGACCCACUGUAGUACUGAUGGAGUGGACCAUGCAGUCUAAACCAGGACCCACUGUGAGUACUGAUGGAGUGGACCAUGCAGUCUAACCCAGGACCCCACUGUAGUACUGAUGGAGUGGACCAUGCAGUCUAACCCAGGACCCACUGUAGUACUGAUGGAGUGGACCAUGCAGUCUAACCCAGGACCCACUGUGAGUACUGAUGGAGUGGACCAUGCAGUCUAACCCAGGACCCACUGUAGUACUGAUGGAGUGGACCAUGCAAUCUAACCCAGGACCCACUGUGAGUACUGAUGGAGUGGACCAUACAGUGUAACCCAGGACCCACUGUAUUACUGAUGGAGUGGACCAUGCAAUCUGACCCAGGACCCCACUGUAGUACUGAUGGAGUAGACCAUGCAGUCUAACCCAGGACCCACUGUAGUACUGAUGGAGUGGACCAUGCAGUCUAACCCAUGACCCCACUGUAGUACUGAUGGAGUGGACCAUGCAGUCUAACCCAGGGCCCCACUGUAGUACUGAUGGAGUGGACCAUGCAGUCUAAUCCAGGACCCUCUGUAGUACUGAUGGAGUGGACCAUGCAGUGAAACUCAGGACCCACUGUAGUACUGAUGGAGUGGAUCAUGCAGUGUAACUCAGGACCCACUGUAGUACUGAUGGAGUGGACCUUGCCGUCUAACCCAGGACCCACUGUAGUACUGAUGGAGUGGACCAUGCAGUCUAACCCAGGACCCACUGUAGUACUGAUGGAGUGGACCAUGCAAUCUAACCCAGGACCCACUGUGAGUACUGAUGGAGUGGACCAUACAGUUUAACCCAGAACCCACUGUAUUACUGAUGGAGUGGACCAUGCAGUCUUACCCAGGACCCCACUGUAGUACAGAUGGAGUGGACCAUGCAGUCUAACCCAGGAACCCACUGUAGUACUGAUGGAGUGGACCAUGCAGUCUAACCCAGGACCCCACUGUAGUACUGAUGGAGUGGACCAUGCAGUCUAACCCAGGACCCCACUGUAGUACUGAUGGAGUGGACCAUGCAGUGUAACCCAGGAUCCACUGUAGUACUGAUGGAGUGGACCAUGCAGUCUAACCCAGGAACCCACUGUAGUACUGAUGGAGUGGACCAUGCAGUCUAACCCAGGACCCACUGUAGUACUGAUGGAGUGGACCAUGCAGUGUAACCCAGACCCCACUGUAGUACUGAUGGAGUGGACCAUGCAGUCUAACCCAGGACCCCACUGUAGUACUGAUGGAGUGGACCAUGCAGUCUAACACAGGAUCCCACUCUAGUACUGAUGGAGUGGACCAUGCAGUCUAACCCAGGACCCCACUGUAGUACUGAUGGAGUGGACCAUGCAGUCUAACCCAGGACCCUCUGUAGUACUGAUGGAGUGGACCAUGCAGUUAAACUCAGGACCCACUGUAGUACUGAUGGAGUGGAUCAUGCAGUGUAACCCAGGAUCCCCUGUAGUACUGAUGGAGUGGACCAUGCAGUCUAACCCAGGACCCCACUGUAGUACUGAUGGAGUGGACCAUGCAGUCUAACCCAGGACCCACUGUGGUACUGAUGGAGUGGACCAUGCAAUCUAACCCAGGACCCACUGUAGUA